rnacentral:rRNA from 1 species
UUCGGACUUGGGUGGCGCACGGGUGAGUAACGCGUAAAGAACUUGCCUCUUAGACCGGGACAACAUCUGGAAACGGAUGCUAAUACCGGAUAUUAUGGUUUUUUCGCAUGGAGGAAUCAUGAAAGCUAGAUGCGCUAAGAGAGAGCUUUGCGUCCCAUUAGCUAGUUGGUGAGGUAACGGCCCACCAAGGCAAUGAUGGGUAGCCGGCCUGAGAGGGUGAACGGCCACAAGGGGACUGAGACACGGCCCUUACUC